GAAGAAAUGAACUUUGGGCCUCGGAGGCUCGGGCAGGGACAGAUCAGGACUAGUCGGCUCAACUUGAUCUGCUUCGGGCAACAAAGCAAUCUGUGCAUAAACCUCAUCAGAGUCUUGUUCAGCCAGAAGUUGAAUGUGAAGAACGCGACAAAGGAUCUUUGGUUGCAGAUUGAACAAUGGUAUGCUCUGAUUCAGCUCCUGAUUUGUUGAUGCCUCCAACUAUCCAUACCACAAAAUCAAACUCAUGAAAAACAACAAUAACGUAUAUGGCAAACUUAUGCACUACAUCCACCUAUUGGGG
rnacentral:misc_RNA from 1 species